GUAGUAACCUGAGAAGGAACAGGAGCAAAAUAUAUGCUGAAGAAGGUGCUUGUUUAUUUGACACUUGAAUCGGACUAUGUUAAAUUAUAUUUGGUUAUUGAAAUAUCUCUUAGGGAAAGGAAGGAAUUUAUUAAAAAGUUGGAUCAUAUGAAUGUUCAAAUGUUUAUCGUAAUAUUGGCACUUGUAAGAAUAAAAUUAAUCUGUAAUUCCAAGGUCCCGCUUAAUCCUAGCAAUGUACGCUCCUGCUUCGCGAAAAAUGUACCAAUAAAGAGCCAAGACGCCAUUGUUAUUUUGUUGGAAACCAAUUUAAGUUGGUAUAUUCUUAAAGUGAACGAACAGUGUAUGUACAGUGUUUUAUGUGUCCGAAGUUUGAAGAACGUGGCUAUUUUCGUUUCUGUCGUUUGAUGUUUUACGUUUUUCCUUAUUCCGACUUCCAUGGGAAGUCCAAUAGUUUGUUUGUGUUGAUCAGGAACCCCCAAGUAUUUGUAAUUACAUUUAGUUGACUGAUCGAGACGCUUGACUUCGUUGGAUGUGUUACAAAGAAUUUUAUAGUUAAUUUAAUUGUCAAUGAAAGAAAAUGCCAUCCCCAAGCGUUGUCGCUGUGUUGGUUGGUCUUGUUGUAGCGACAGCGACACUUACAUUGCACUAUUUUUUUACACGUGAAGAAGAGGAAGGCUAUCGCAAUACUGAAUGCCGUAAUAGUACAAACGCAUACAGAUCAUAUGAUAAUUCACCAUAUUCCUAUCCAGAUAACUACCCGAGAAGGCGACGAACUGCAAGUGGUCAAGGAGGUCCAGAGGUUUGCACAAUAUGCUUAGAAACAAUAAUAGAUAGAAAACAAAUAGUAUUGCAGCCCUGCAAACAUAUAUUUCACGAAGCCUGUAUCAGAGAGUUGAAAAUUCAAACGAGAGAGCAAGUUUGCCCGAACUGCAGAUGUCGCUUUAAAUGAACAACCAAAUUCAGUACAAAAACUUGCUACGUAGUAUAAUGUUUUUGUAAUACAUUGUACACAUUAAAAACUGAAUUUAUAUAGCAGUUCGGUUAUUCUUAUUGUUGCAAGUCGGACUUCACUGUUCAACAAAUUGUUUACAACGGCAAAAUUUCUACUUAGAAGAUGAAAAAACAAAAUGUAAAAAGUUCAUGUAAAAAUUGUAUGCAGUGUAAGUUGGUUUCCUAAACUCAGCAAUGGAAUUAUUGCAAUGCGAGUGCUUAUUUAUUAAGCUGUAUGCCUUGUCUUACAUGCCUUGUAUUACAGGGUUAUAGAUGUUAUGCCAUAUUUAAUAACUGUAAUUGUAUAUUAUUUUUGUAAUGUAAAAUUGUUUGAGAACACAUCAAUUCAUUAAGUUUAAAAGCAUGUAAUUUAAUACAUAUGAACUUAUUAUCUAAUUAAAUGAAGUAACUCAUGUAGAAUCAUACUCGUAAAAUAAUUUAAAAUUAAUUUCGUAUCUCGAUUCAAGAACAUUUGUGAUCCUGUAAAAAUAUGGCGUAGUUUGUACCAUUUUUACUUGUUAUUCACACAUUGCUGUUGUAACAUCUCUAUAAUAAAAAUUUAACAUAACUCUAUACAUAUUUUAAAAUGUAAACAUAGCCUGUUGAUUAGAAUAACAAACACAAAAUUUAGAUGGUAGAUUAAUUUAUUUUAAAGUGUUACAGGUGGUACAAAACGUUGUAAUGUAAUUUUCGUGCAUCAUACAAGCGUCGUUGACAGUGUAAAAAAUUACGGAAGAGAAAGUUAAAUUGCGUUAACUUUAAUGGUACAGCAGGAAUUUUAUGUACCGUGAACCGCUUACGAAAUCGUGCUUUAAUUUAAAACAAAGAAAAAGAAAACCAAAUUUACUGAGUCACUGACGAAUGAACGGUAAAGAAAUAUAUUACGUAAAACGGUAAACGUAAAGAAACGAUAUCAUAAACACAUUUGUCUUCGCUAAUGUAUUCCUUGUGAUGGUACACGCGGCUCGCUUUCUUUUUCACUCAUCGUAAUUGGAUUUCUCGAUUUCCGAUUCAGUAAAUCCGUUUACUUUCCAAAUUGAAGGAAUAAAUCAGUUCCUUUCGACUUUCCGUAUUUUCCAAAGUAAUACUUCAAAAUGGCGCAAAAAUUGUGAUAACUGCUUUAAUACUUAUGUAACAUAUAAUAUAAGGACGAUAUAAUUGUCAUAAAUUAUGGAAAACUGAUUGUGAUUAUGUUUUGUAAGAACGAUUAAAACUGAUAUAUGUAUAUCAGUGAAAUGACAAUCUUACUCGUUCAUCUGUAAACUGUCUCUGAAGGAUCUCUUCCUAUAAGACAACAAUUUCUUACAUGUCAACUAUUAGUAUAUAAGAAUACAAAUGUACUAAACAUAUAUAAAUGAUGUUUCAGUUUAUUUAGGUAUAUCUACGAAUAAGAAUAGUUCUCAAUUAAUUAAUUAGUUAAGCCAUUGCCAGUUGUGAACUGUACAUAAAUUGAUAAUCUCGCAAUAACAAUACGACGUGUUAAAAAAAAAAAUGUAUGAUUCUUUGAAUCAUGUCUCAAUAUUUCAAUGUGUUAAUCAAAUUAGCAAUGUAUUUGAUAUGAAUAGGUAUUAACUUUUCACAAUAAAAGAACUG